UGCUGCGCAAAAUCUCAGCGAGGUGGUGGCUUUUUGGCAGCGAGAGGGUGGACUUCUCGUCCUGCAAAGGAUGGCAGGACUCGAGGCCAGUGUUGAUAAGAGUACCAGCUCUUGUACCUGGGAUAGGCUUUUGAAAAAUACAAGUACCUAUUAUAGAGACGAAUCCAACCCAUCUGGACAAGGAAAAAGGUACUUAUUUAGCUCUGCAAUUUGGGAGCUCUGCAACACUGGCAUUUCGGUGGCACAGUUAGCCGUAAACACGACCAUGGUUACCCAAAAAAAGGUGAUGGGAAGCGGAGGGUUAAGGGUUGCUGCACCGCCCACUGGGAGGGUGGUGGACCGAACCAAAGGACUCAACACCACCAGGUGACGAGGGCGAGAGACAGAGAGAGAGCGCAG